rnacentral:rRNA from 1 species
UACAGAGGUGGCAAGCGUUUGUUCGGAAUUACUGGGCGUAAAGCGCGUGUAGGCGGCCCUGCAAGUCGGAUGUGAAAUCCCACGGCUCAACCGUGGAAGUGCAUUCGAAACUGCAGGGCUAGAGUCCUGGAGAGGAAGGUGGAAUGCUUGGUGUAGAGGUGAAAUUCGUAGAUAUCAAGCGGAACACCGGUGGCGAAGGCGGCCUUCUGGACAGUGACUGACGCUGAGACGGCGAAAAGCGUGGGGAGCAACAGG